GCGUUGAAGAAUGAGCAGUUGAGCAUCGUGGACGAAAGUUGUACGGCGUGAGUGGCGGUGGGUAGAGUAGAGUCGCACUUUAAGCUUAUCGUGUGAUGAAAUAAAGAGGAGAAACGGUGAGCUUCUUACCUACCUACCUAACCACCUCUUUCUUGCUUCAUCGAUCGUUUUCCUCAAACCUCACCGUAACACCAUGAGUCACCACCACCAUCACCAUGACGCUCCUCCUCCUCCGCCACCACACCCACACCCUCACCACCCUCCGCCGCCGCCACCGCACCAUCCCCCCGGCUAUCAGGAUUACUUCAAUCCACCGCCGCCGCCGCCUCCUGCCGUCGUCCACCACCACCGUCACGAGCCAGAUGGCUGUUGUUCAUGUUCGAUUCUCUGAUCACCGCAACUCUCCUCCAAGUCUGCAGCUUGUAGUUUAACUGCUGUCUGUUGUUGGGUGCUACUGCUUUUUAACAGUGGAUUCAUCGACUACAUAUUGCGGUUAGUCGUCAUCAUCCGAACCAUCGAUCCAUCCAUAUCAAAUUUAUUAUGCUGUAAUCCCUAUGUAGGUUAGAACUUAGUACAAGAAUAAUACUGUACUGUUGUAUCAGACAAAGUAUGGCAUUUGAGCAUUGCCUAUGUAUGACAUGUACCCAAUUUAGUAUGUUGUGUUUGCUGACAUAACUAUAGUGCUGGGAUGAUUUUAUAUAUAUGUUCAAUAAAAAAAAUGUUAUUAUGCCCA